GUAUAAAUAGUUUAAUAAAAAUAUUAGAUUGUGAUUCUAAAGAUAAAGGUUAAACUCCUUUUUUCUACC
rnacentral:tRNA from 1 species